rnacentral:tRNA from 1 species
GCGCCCGUGGUGAAAUGGAUAUCACGGCAGCCUUCGAAGCUGCUUUUGGGGGUUCGAAUCCCUCCGGGCGCACCA